ACCAGAUAGGAUAGCUUCAAUACUUGAACAUCGGUAUGACAAGACUUAAAUCCAAGAAAAAGCUUUAUUCUUUCUUACCUUGACAGUAUUUGAAUAUUCAAUUGAGAGAGAGAAAAGUAAAGUAUUUUCUGGCUCUGCAUUUGUUGUGGAAGCCAUGAUGGCAUGUCCACAGUAAAGCACUUCAUUUUGCUUAUUCUGAACUAUUUUUUUGUGCCCUCUUUUUCUUUCAAGACAAUCAAAUGCUCCUUUUCUCCUUUAUGAACUGUACCUCAACUCCUUUACUCUCUUGGGGCAACCAGCUGCCUCCUUUCUCUCACUUGCAGGCAUGACAGACUCACUGGUUCUCUUCUUGUUCUUUCGUGAAAUAUGAUGCCUGUUGAGGUGCCAUCACUUUCAUGUUAUGUGACCAGUGCUCCAGAAUCUAUUUCAUUGUAGAGUGCUACAUUAUCCAUUGAUGGUACAGUAGAACAAGCUUUGCUAAACUGAGAAAGCAGACAAUAGAAAUCCAUAUAUCAGAACUAAGAUGUCCUUAUAAGCUGCAUUUAGGUUUUCGAAAGAACGGCAAGGAAUCACUCAAGGAAGGAAUUCUCUUGAUAGAAUUUUCAUUCAUUGCCUUUUCCUUGGUUUUUCCAAGUAGCAGUUUUGCUUGAACAAUUUCAAACAUGCAGAUGGUUGAGGGUAGGGUUCAUACUCAUUUGAGAGCUAAUGCCAGAUUUGUCAUAUAGUAACCUACAUAUAAGAUUUUAUUUUGUUGAAAUGCAUUCAAUUAUCCUGAUAUGAAUUCAUGCUAAUUCAGGAACAAAUAAUAAAUAAGCUUUUUUUUUUUGUUCUUUUUCUUUAGCUUUAAGCUUUCAUCACAGUCAAGUCUAUUGACUGAUAUUGGCCUGCAUAAUGCAGCUUCGUUUUAGUAGCAUUUAGAAAGAAGUAUUGUUACCUUUGAAUGAAGCAACAUAGCUAGAGAGAAGGAAAAGAAAGGGAUUAAAUUAUGUUUAAUAUGCAUUAAAAGAUCUUUGUGAAAUUAGUAAAUUAAACAGAUCUUAUGUCUUAACUCUUUUGUUGAGCCUGCAUUUUGAUUCCUCCUUGUGUCUAGUUUUCAAGGCACAUCCCACCCUUUCCCUUCUUUCAAGUCCUUGUCAUCUAAAACAGGAGGGAUGUUUUGCCAUUGUGGAUCACCAAACAAAUAUAAGAGGCUGGAUGAAUAUACUAAUCUUGUGGUUUCCUCAGUUUAAUGAAGAACUGAAACACAUCAGAGGGGUAUUUGAACAGUAUGAUGAAGAUGUAAAUGGAUCUAUUGACCUUGAGGAACUCAAAAAAUGCUUACAAAAGCUGACACUCACUUUAAAAGAGGAGGAAGUUGAGGAUCUUUUCCACUCCUGCGACAUUGACAAUUCAAUGAGUUCAAUGUUCAUUGAAGUCAUCUAUCUCCUAGUAGAACAUUCAUCCUCUCCUCCCAAGAGCAUCCACCUUAAACUUGACUUUAUCUUCAUUCAUAUGUUUGACUUAAAGACGUCAACUUAUUGUGAUCACCCAUAUAUGAUGGCCUGAGGGUUUUGUUUCAGACAUCAAAGAUGGGUUCCCCAGAGCUUCAGGCCACUUUCGAUACAAUUAUAGAAGCUUUCUUAUUCUUGGAUAAGAAUGGUAAUGGGAAGCUGUAAAAGAAAGAGAUGAUCAAAGCAUUCAAAGAGGAUUCUCCUUGGGAAAAAUCCCCAGCACACAUCACCGGAUCCAGAAUUAGUUCUAUCUCUUUCACAUGAUAUAUUUCUACUUUUGACUUGUAGUUCCAGUUGUUUUAAAAUCCUUAAACCAUCCUCUUGGAGAUUCCUGUGAAUAUAUGCAGAAGAAAUGGACUGGGACAGGAAUGGGAAGGUCAGUUUCAGGGAGUUCCUCUCUUCUUUAAUCAACUGGAUUAGGAUUGAUGCUGACGAAGAAAUUCCUGAGAAGGGAAGUCAAACCAGGCACAAGAAUUUGAGCUGGAUAACUGUCGAAUAUGAGGUCAGGUUGAAGCAUUUAUAAAUCAUCCAAGUGUAUUAUUCAAAGCUGUCGCUCCUCUGCCAUGCUCAAUUGUGCAUGUAAUAUUUGUGGUGACAGUUAACGUUUCUCAUAUGCUCUAUGAAUCACCCGGAUAAAUUAAGGGUUCAUUUCUUUCU